UACGUAGGGUGCAAGCGUUGUCCGGAAUUAUUGGGCGUAAAGAGCUCGUAGGCGGUUUGUCGCGUCUGCUGUGAAAACCCGCGGCUUAACUGCGGGACUGCAGUCGAUACGGGCAGGCUAGAGUUCGGUAGGGGAGACUGGAAUUCCUGGUGUAGCGGUGGAAUGCGCAGAUAUCAGGAGGAACACCGGUGGCGAAGGCGGGUCUCUGGGCAGUAACUGACGCUGAGGAGCGAAAGCGUGGGGAGCGAACAGG
rnacentral:rRNA from 1 species